rnacentral:lncRNA from 1 species
AAUAAAAAAGGAUUACAGGCCCCUAGAAGGACACAGCAUCAUCAGCGUGCAAUCCAGCCCAUGGUUUCUUAGAUACCGUAUUGUCUAUUCUGUUCCGCUAUGUGAAAAAUGUUGAAUAUCAACAAUGGGUUUCAGUGCUGCAUUGUUGAGUUUUGUAUGAACUAAUCUAGCUUCACUAAAAAAAAAAUAAAGAAGAAAAAAAAAGAAAAAGAAGGAAAGAAAGAAGAAAUAAAGGGAAAGAAAAAAAAAGACAGCUUUGAACAAAAGUCCACAGCCAGUGUGUUCCAAGUCCCUGCUCAGGGCUGACUGUGGCAGGGGACACUCUCCUGCUGGCUCUCUCUGUCCACACUUAGCUGGCUCCUGUCCUCAGGUGCACGGCCACACCCUUGCACCCAACCUUGAUCCUCUGAUGGGGAAGGUCCCAGGACUUGUCUGCUGGGACAGGCCUCACCCCCAAGAGCUCUGGGCAGUACUGAGAAGCAAACCUGACAGAUUUCUCCAGAACAGUGGCCAUCCAUGGGAUGAGUGAAAGCCUCUUUCUAUUCCAGGGAUUGCAGAGGCAAAGCUAGACUAGGUCUUGGAGGCUGGUGUAAGGCGGUGCGCGGAAGGCAGGACGCUGAUGGGAGAGACUGGUCGAAGAAAAGCCGAAAUGGAUUCUCCGUGCUUUGGAUGGAGAAAGAGGGGGGAAGUGCGAGCUCCUUCAACUCGUUCUGUCCGGUGAGGAGUGAUCCAGCUUGGGCUGACGAGAGGCUCCGGAGCCUUCACGUUCAGUGCUUUUUACCUGCCAAUCAAACUGCUACAAGACAACACCCUGAUCUGGCAUGGUCGCCGCGGGUCCAAGCCUGUAGUCCCAAAUCGGAAAAUCUCUGCAGCUGGUACACGCAAAAGAGAAGCCAGGCAACAGACAUAUUACAGAAGAAAGCUCUCGACUCCGAGGUAGAUAUUUCGCAUUGUGCGCUCUCAUCACAUUUGGACAUGAUUGUGCUUUUGAUCUGUUAACUGUUUUACUACAGUAGUAGAGAGGGGGGGAGGAGAGAGGGUGGGGAAAGGAGAUUGGAUUUGCUGUUUUCUUUUGCUCCAGGAAAAGUAAGAGGCUGGCGACGUCCUCGGUUGGAGCGGAAAAGUUGGGGGAACCGCCGUGGUCUUUAAGUUCAACCAGCGGCUCUGGCGUAGCCGAGGAAGUCGCUGGCCCGCUUUGCUUUUUUUCUUUUUUCUUUUUUUUUUAAUUGGCUCCUGGUUUCGGUCAUCUUCUAUCCAAAGGCACCAAGAACCAGAAAUGGGGCGUCCUUGUGAGUUCUGCAUUGCUUCUUAUUUCUAGAGCGUCCACUAGCUGCAUCUCUGCAGAAGUUAGGAUCCCGGGGCGCUUUCUGCCCUUCAGCCGAGUACCGGCCGCCGCCAGUUCUCUCAGCCUCUAGGCCU